UUAUAUAACACCUUAUCCAUUCCUCAGCCCUUCCACCUCUAUUUAAAUGUCAACUACUUCAGCAUUACAUUUGACUAUUCACACGAUUCAGGAGCGAUUAACAAGUCAAGGUAAUAAGGAACAAUCUGCUGAACACUAAAUACCUUAUAGUCAGGGGCAAUAAGGAACAAUCUGCUGAACACUAAAUACCUGGGAGUCAGGGGCAAUAAGGAACAAUCUGCUGAACACUAAAUACCUUGGAGUCAGGGGUAAUAAGGAACAAUCUGCUGAACACUAAAUACCUUAUAGUCAGGGGCAAUAAGGAACAAUCUGCUGAACACUAAAUACCUGGGAGUCAGGGGCAAUAAGGAACAAUCUGCUGAACACUAAAUACCUGGGAGUCAGGGGCAAUAAGGAGCAAUCUGCUGAACACUAAAUACCUUAUAGUUAAGGUAAUAAGGAACAAUCUGCUGAACACUAAAUACCUUAUAGUCAGGGGCAAUAAGGAACAAUCUGCUGAACACUAAAUACCUGGGAGUCAGGGGCAAUAAGGAACAAUCUGCUGAACACUAAAUACCUUGGAGUCAGGGGUAAUAAGGAACAAUCUGCUGAACACUAAAUACCUUAUAGUCAGGGGCAAUAAGGAACAAUCUGCUGAACACUAAAUACCUGGGAGUCAGGGGCAAUAAGGAACAAUCUGCUGAACACUAAAUACCUUGGAGUCAGGGGUAAUAAGGAACAAUCUGCUGAACACUAAAUACCUGGGAGUCAGGGGCAAUAAGGAACAAUCUGCUGAACACUAAAUACCUGGGAGUCAGGGGCAAUAAGGAACAAUCUGCUGAACACUAAAUACCUUGGAGUCAGGGGUAAUAAGGAACAAUCUGCUGAACACUAAAUACCUUAUAGUCAGGGGCAAUAAGGAACAAUCUGCUGAACACUAAAUACCUGGGAGUCAGGGGCAAUAAGGAACAAUCUGCUGAACACUAAAUACCUUGGAGUCAGGGGUAAUAAGGAACAAUCUGCUGAACACUAAAUACCUGGGAGUCAGGGGCAAUAAGGAACAAUCUGCUGAACACUAAAUACCUAGGAGUCAGGGGCAAUAAGGAACAAUCUGCUGAACACUAAAUACCUUGGAGUCAGGGGCAAUAAGGAACAAUCUGCUGAACACUAAAUACCUUGGAGUCAGGGGCAAUAAGGAACAAUCUGCUGAACACUAAAUACCUAGGAGUCAGGGGCAAUAAGGAACAUUCUGCUGAACAAUAAAUACCUAGGAGUCAGGGGCAAUAAGGAACAAUCUGCUGAACACUAAAUACCUUGGAGUCAGGGGCAAUAAGGAACAAUCUGCUGAACACUAAAUACCUAGGAGUCAGGGGCAAUAAGGAACAAUAUCCUAAAAAACUCAAAGACCACCCUCGAACAAGACAAAUUAGAUGAUUAACAGACAGAGAAUCAUUACAA